rnacentral:rRNA from 1 species
UUCGAACUAGACCUCAAUUUGAGCAAGAUUACCCGCUGAAUUUAACU